rnacentral:rRNA from 1 species
GAGGAUCAUAUUAAAGGUUACGGUACAAGAUGAGUAUGCGUUCUAUUAGCUAGAUGGUAAGGUAACGGCUUACCAUGGCUACGAUAGAUAGGGGCCCUGAGAGGGGGAUCCCCCACACUGGUACUGAGACACGGACCAGACUCCUACGGGAGGCAGCAGUGAGGAAUAUUGGACAAUGGGCGAGAGCCUGAUCCAGCCAUGCCGCGUGCAGGAUGACGGCCCUAUGGGUUGUAAACUGCUUUUAUACAGGAAGAAACACCCCGACGUGUCGGGACUUGACGGUACUGUAAGAAUAAGGAUCGGCUAACUCCGUGCCAGCAGCCGCGGUAAUACGGAGGAUCCAAGCGUUAUCCGGAAUCAUUGGGUUUAAAGGGUCCGUAGGUGGACAAUUAAGUCAGAGGUGAAAUCCUGCAGCUCAACUGUAGAAUUGCCUUUGAUACUGGUUGUCUUGAGUUAUUAUGAAGUAGUUAGAAUAUGUAGUGUAGCGGUGAAAUGCAUAGAUAUUACAUAGAAUACCAAUUGCGAAGGCAGAUUACUAAUAAUGAACUGACACUGAUGGACGAAAGCGUGGGGAGCGAACAGGAUUAGAUACCCUGGUAGUCCACGCCGUAAACGAUGGUUACUAGUUGUUCGGAUUUCGGUCUGAGUGACUAAGCGAAAGUGAUAAGUAACCCACCUGGGGAGUACGUUCGCAAGAAUGAAACUCAAAGGAAUUGACGGGGGCCCGCACAAGCGGUGGAGCAUGUGGUUUAAUUCGAUGAUACGCGAGGAACCUUACCAGGCUUAAAUGUAGAUUGACAGGUUUAGAGAUAGACUUUUCUUCGGACAUUUACAAGGUGCUGCAUGGUUGUCGUCAGCCUCGUGCCUGUGAGUGUCAGUU